rnacentral:ncRNA from 1 species
AUAAAUGCGAUGAAGAGAUGAGUAAAUAAACACGAUUCGUUCAAAGAGAGCUCUGGUAGCUGAGAAGGGGCAACGGAUAGUUUAUUGAAUAAAGACUCCGAGCAGCACAUCGGAACCACAGGUGGGUUGGGAUGGUGUGACAGGCGCUCCUGUUAUAGAGCUAGAGUAUAUGCAUGCCCGUUCAUGCCGUACUCGAUGAGGUUGAUAUGGUGACAUAUUAACGAUUCUAGGGUGGUACCACGAGUAUACAACAUCUCGUCCCUGAG